rnacentral:rRNA from 1 species
UUUGAGCAAUGGAGGGACGCAGAAGGAUAGAAGAAGCGUGCGAUUGGUUGUGCACGUCCAAGCAGUUAGGCUGAUAAGUAGGCAAAUCCGCUUAUCGUAAAGGCUGAGCUGUGAUGGGGAAGCUCCUUAUGGAGCGAAGUCUUUGAUUCCCCGCUGCCAAGAAAAGCUUCUAGCGAGAUAAAAGGUGCCUGUACCGCAAACCGACACAGGUAGGCGAGGAGAGAAUCCUAAGGUGUGCGAGAGGACUCUGGUUAAGGAACUCGGCAAAAUGACCCCGUAACUUCGGGAGAAGGGGUGCUUUCUUAACGGAAAGCCGCAGUGAAUAGGCCCAAGCGACUGUUUAGCAAAAACACAGCUCUCUGCGAAGCCGUAAGGCGAAGUAUAGGGGGUGACACCUGCCCGGUGCUGGAAGGUUAAGGAGAGGGGUUAGCGUAAGCGAAGCUCUGAACUGAAGCCCCAGUAAACGGCGGCCGUAACUAUAACGGUCCUAAGGUAGCGAAAUUCCUUGUCGGGUAAGUUCCGACCCGCACGAAAGGUGUAACGAUUUGGGCACUGUCUCAACCAGAGACUUGGUGAAAUUAUAGUACCUGUGAAGAUGCAGGUUACCCGCGACAGGACGGAAAGACCCCGUGGAGCUUUACUGUAGCCUGAUAUUGAAUUUUGGUACAGUUUGUACAGGAUAGGCGGGAGCCUUUGAAACCGGAGCGCUAGCUUCGGUGGAGGCGCUGGUGGGAUACCGCCCUGACUGUAUUGAAAUUCUAACCUCCGGGUCUUAUCGACCCGGGAGACAGUGUCAGGUGGGCAGUUUGACUGGGGCGGUCGCCUCCUAAAGUGUAACGGAGGCGCCCAAAGGUUCCCUCAGAAUGGUUGGAAAUCAUUCGUAGAGUGCAAAGGCAUAAGGGAGCUUGACUGCGAGACCUACAAGUCGAGCAGGGACGAAAGUCGGGCUUAGUGAUCCGGUGGUUCCGCAUGGAAGGGCCAUCGCUCAACGGAUAAAAGCUACCCCGGGGAUAACAGGCUUAUCUCCCCCAAGAGUCCACAUCGACGGGGAGG